GAUCAUGGCUCAGGAUGAACGCUGGCGGCGUGCCUAACACAUGGCAAGUCGAGCGAUUCUCUUCGGAGAAGAGCGGCGGACGGGUGAGUAACGCGUGGGUAACCUGCCUCAUACACAUGGAUAACAUACCGAAAGGUAUGCUAAUACAGGAUAAUAUAAGAGAUUCACAUGGAUUUCUAUCAAAGCUCCGGCGGUAUGAGAUGGACCCGCGUCUGAUUAGCUAGUUGGUAAGGUAACGGCUUACCAAGGCGACGAUCAGUAGCCGACCUGAGAGGGUGAUCGGCCACAUUGGAACUGAGACACGGUCCAAACUCCUACGGGAGGCAGCAGUGGGGAAUAUUGCACAAUGGGCGAAAGCCUGAUGCCAGCAACGCCGCGUGAGUGAUGAAGGCCUUCGGGUCGUAAAACUCUGUCCUCAAGGAAGAUAAUGACGGUACUUGAGGAGGAAGCCCCGGCUAACUACGUGCCAGCCGCAGC
rnacentral:rRNA from 1 species